AUUCCAACAGAGCAGAAGUAUUCUUUUCAGAUCUUCAGACUUUCAAGAAUACUUUUAUCUCUCUUCAUUUUUCUUCCAUCUCUUGCAAUUUCAGUAGAACAGUCACGUCCGAUGGCUCUAAGCGCUGGCUGCACAACAUAGAAGCCUAAGGUGCGAAAGAUGCAAAAAGGACACGACUGACCACAACAUCAUCAAUGCAUCAAGCAUCAAAUUUUCUGAAUAUGUAAAUAGUAAUAGUAAGUUCAUGGCAGUAAAAAAUGUGCUACUUACAAUAUUUCGUAACUUGUGUACAACUUGAUUUUGUUUCUAAAUGCAUCGAUGAUAUGAAGGUUCGUGGAUGUGAAGAAUGUAUUCUUUGGCAGCCACA